rnacentral:lncRNA from 10 species
CCAGUUUGGGGUGAGGCUGGAAAACUUCUAGAAGGAGGCAGCAAUUUCACUGGGCCUUGAAGCUUGGUGAGGGGAAAGGUGUUUCAGGCGGGGAAAAUGGCAUAAACUAAGACACGUAGGUGGGGCAGUCUAGGGGGUCGGCAAGGCCCCUGUCCUCAAUGGGAGAUGGAAGACAUUCCUGGAAGAGUGCCUGAGGCAGUGCGGUGAACGGGUUUGAAAACCUCGUGAGGGGCUGGGCUCUCAUCUGUAGGAGCCAUGGAAAGAGAAGGAUAUGAUCAGGGCCAUGAAAUCUGCAACCAGUGUAGGGGAAGGAGACAAGACAAGCCUCGAGGCAGAAGGUUCAAG